UAGGGAAUCUUCCGCAAUGGACGAAAGUCUGACGGAGCAACGCCGCGUGAGUGAAGAAGGAUCUCGCUUCGUAAAACCCUGUUGUUAGGGAAGCAAAAAUGUAUAGUAACUAUAUACAAAAGAGACGGUACCUAACCAGAAAGCCACGGCUAACUACGUGCCAGCAGCCGCGGUAAUACGUAGGUGGCAAGCGUUGUCCGGAAUUAUUGGGCGUAAAGCGCGCGCAGGUGGUUUAGAAAGUCUGAUGUGAAAGCCCACGGCUCAACCGUGGAGGGUCAUUGGAAACUAAUAAACUUGAGUGCAGGAGAGAAAAGUGGAAUUCCUAGUGUAGCGGUGAAAUGCGUAGAGAUUAGGAGGAACACCGGUGGCGAAAGCGGCUUUUUGGCCUGCAACUGACACUGAGGCGCGAAAGCGUGGGAAGCAAACAGG
rnacentral:rRNA from 1 species